GACAGAGGGUGCGAACGUUGUUCGGAAUCACUGGGCGUAAAGCGCGUGUAGGCGGCUGCGCAAGUCGGGCGUGAAAUCCCGUGGCUCAACCACGGAAGUGCACCCGAAACUGCGUAGCUGGAGUCUCGGAGAGGAAGGUGGAAUGCUUGGUGUAGAGGUGAAAUUCGUAGAUAUCAAGCGGAACACCAGUGGCGAAGGCGACCUUCUGGACGAUGACUGACGCUGAGACGCGAAAGCGUGGGGAGCAAACAGG
rnacentral:rRNA from 1 species